rnacentral:rRNA from 1 species
GAUGAACGCUGGCGGCGUGCCUAAUACAUGCAAGUCGAGCGAACGGACGAGAAGCUUGCUUCUCUGAUGUUAGCGGCGGACGGGUGAGUAACACGUGGAUAACCUACCUAUAAGACUGGGACAACUUCGGGAAACCGGAGCUAAUACCGGAUAAUAUUUUGAACCGCAUGGUUCAAAAGUGAAAGACGGUCUUGCUGUCACUUAUAGAUGGAUCCGCGCUGCAUUAGCUAGUUGGUAAGGUAACGGCUUACCAAGGCAACGAUGCAUAGCCGACCUGAGAGGGGGAUCGGCCACACUGGAACUGGAACACGGUCCAGACUCCUACGGGAGGCAGCAGUAGGGAAUCUUCCGCAAUGGGCGAAAGCCUGACGGAGCAACGCCGCGUGAGUGAUGAAGGUCUUCGGAUCGUAAAACUCUGUUAUUAGGGAAGAACAUAUGUGUAAGUAACUGUGCACAUCUUGACGGUACCUAAUCAGAAAGCCACGGCUAACUACGUG